UACGUAGGGUGCAAGCGUUAAUCGGAAUUACUGGGCGUAAAGCGUGCGCAGGCGGCUUUGCAAGACAGAUGUGAAAUCCCCGGGCUUAACCUGGGAACUGCAUUUGUGACUGCAUGGCUGGAGUGCGGCAGAGGGGGAUGGAAUUCCGCGUGUAGCAGUGAGAUGCGUAGAUAUGCGGAGGAACACCGAUGGCGAAGGCGAAUCCCCUGGGCCUGCACUGACG
rnacentral:rRNA from 1 species